rnacentral:rRNA from 1 species
CAGUCGCCACGGUAAUACGAAGGGUGCAAGCGUUACUCGGAAUUACUGGGCGUAAAGCGUGUGUAGGUGGUUGUUUAAGUCUGUCGUGAAAGCCCUGGGCUCAACCUGGGAAUUGCAGUGGAUACUGGGUCACUAGAGUGUGGUAGAGGAUAGUGGAAUUUCCGGUGUAGCAGUGAAAUGCGUAGAGAUCGGAAGGAACAUCUGUGGCGAAGGCGACUAUCUGGGCCAACACUGACACUGAGGCACGAAAGCGUGGGGAGCAAACAGGAUUAGAUACCCCGGUAGUCCCUGUCUCUUAUAC